rnacentral:rRNA from 1 species
AGUGAACGCUGGCGGUAGGCCUAACACAUGCAAGUCGAACGGCAGCACAGGAGAGCUUGCUCUCUGGGUGGCGAGUGGCGGACGGGUUAGGAAUACAUCGGAAUCUACUUUUUCGUGGGGGAUAACGUAGGGAAACUUACGCUAAUCCCGCAUACGACCUACCGGUGAAAGCAGGGGACCUUCGGGCCGUGCGCGUUUGAAUGAGCCCAUGUCGGAUUAGCUAGUUGGCGGGGUAAAGGCCCACCAAGGCGACGAUCCGUAGCUGGUCUGAGAGGAUGAUCAGCCACACUGGAACUGAGACACGGUCCAGACUCCUACGGGAGGCAGCAGUGGGGAAUAUUGGACAAUGGGCGCAAGCCUGAUCCAGCCAUACCGCGUGGGUGAAGAAGGCCUUCGGGUUGUAAAGCCCUUUUGUUGGGAAAGAAAUCCAGCUGGCUAAUACCCGGUUGGGAUGACGGUACCCAAAGAAUAAGCACCGGCUAACUUCGUGCCAGCCGCCGCGGUAA